rnacentral:rRNA from 1 species
CAGCCGCCACGGUAAUACAGAGGGUGCAAGCGUUAAUCGGAUUUACUGGGCGUAAAGCGUGCGUAGGUGGCUGUUUAAGUCGGAUGUGAAAGCCCUGGGCUUAACCUGGGAACUGCAUUCGAUACUGGAUAGCUAGAGAUCGGUAGAGGGCAGCGGAAUUCCGGGUGUAGCGGUGAAAUGCGUAGAUAUCCGGAGGAACACCGAUGGCGAAGGCAACUGCCUGGGCCUGAUCUGACACUGAGGCACGAAAGCGUGGGUAGCAAACAGGAUUAGAUACCCCCGUAGUCCCUGUCUCUUAUAA